AUCCUUUUUUGCGCUUCGUCAUUAGGGGGUAUUGUGAUGUCAUAAUGGGGUAUUGUGAUGUCAUUAUGGGCUUUUGUGAUGUCAUGUUUUUGGUUGGACAGUUUUCUCAAUUUCUUUCUUAGGUUUUUGCAUUCUUCGUCAAACCAUUUGUCAUUGCUUGAAAACGUUAGAUUUGAUAGGGGAGCUGAAAGGUCAAAUAUACUGUUUAGGUUUACUACUGCCAAGUUUACACCUUCACUAUUACAGUGAAAUGUUUUGUCCAGGGAGUUGUCUAGAAGGGAUUGAAUUUGUUGUUGCCUAAUCGUUUUUUGGUAGGUUUCUACACUACUUUCCUUCCAUCUAUAGCAUUUCUUAAUAUUAUUCAGUUCAUUUGGCUUUGAUGCCUCAUGAUUGAGUCUGUUCAAGUAGAUGGUUAUUCAGCAGUGAUCUGAUAGGGGUGUCAGUGGGCUGACUGAACAGGUCAGUGACUGGUCAGUGAUAAAGUAGUCUACAGUACUACUGCCAAGGGAUGAGGUCAGUGAUAAAGUAGUCUACAGUACUACUGCCAAGGGAUGAGGUCAGUGAUAAAGUAGUCUACAGUACUACUGCCAAGGGAUGAGGUCAGUGAUAAAGUAGUCUACAGUACUACUGCCAAGGGAUGAGGUCAGUGAUAAAGUAGUCUACAGUACUACUGCCAAGGGAUGAGGUCAGUGAUAAAGUAGUCUACAGUACUACUGCCAAGGGAUGAGGUCAGUGAUAAAGUAGUCUACAGUACUACUGCCAAGGGAUGAGGUCAGUGAUAAAGUAGUCUACAGUACUACUGCCAAGGGAUGAGGUCAGUGAUAAAGUAGUCUACAGUACUACUGCCAAGGGAUGAGGUCAGUGAUAAAGUAGUCUACAGUACUACUGCCAAGGGAUGAGGUCAGUGAUAAAGUAGUCUACAGUACUACUGCCAAGGGAUGAGGUCAGUGAUAAAGUAGUCUACAGUACUACUGCCAAGGGAUGAGGUCAGUGAUAAAGUAGUCUACAGUACUACUGACAAGGGAUGAGGUCAGUGAUAAAGUAGUCUACAGUACUACUGCCAAGGGAUGAGGUCAGGUGAUUGUGUCCCUACCGUAAGAGUCCCCUUGAAGCCUAUAGUACCAUUGACUAUGUACAGACCCAGCGUGCGACAGAGCUGCAGGAGUUGUGACCCGUUUUUGUUGGUUAUGUUGUCGUAGUUGUGCCUAGGGGGGCAUAUGGUGGAGGGAAUGCUGUCACCUCCAGGCAGGUGUUUGUCUCCCUGGGUGCUGAGGGUGUCAGAUUCUUGUCCCGUUCUGGCAUUUAGGUCUCCACAGUCCCUGGGCCUGGAAAUGGUUUAUCUCCCCUUGUAGGAUGACAA